GGCCUGGUGUUGUUUGACUUAUUUGUGUCUGCGUUGGCUGUGGAGCAACCCUAGAGAUGUCUUGCAUUUGGGGUGCUCGAUAUUGAGGAUCAGAAGACAGAUAUUGGCUCUGAGGGUGUUGUGUCUGGGCUGGAGCCAAAUAAUAAGAUUGCUGUUGGGCCACACUCUGAGGUGGUGCUUGGGCUGGUGGGGGCACAGGGGCAGUCUGUUGUUGCGGCACCACCUGGUGGGGCAAAGCAAGGGCCAACUGUUGG
rnacentral:misc_RNA from 1 species